AAUCAAGCGUUUAAGAGCAUUUGAUGGAUGCCUUGGCACACAAAGGCGAUGAAGGACGUAGUACGUUGCGAUAAGCUUCGGGGAGUGACGAACACACUUUGAUCCGAAGAUUUCCGAAUGGGGAAACCCAACUCUUUUGAGUUAUUGCUAACUGAAUACAUAGGUUAGUAAAGCGAACCCAGCGAACUGAAACAUCUAAGUAGCUGGAGGAAAGGAUAUCAACCGAUACUCCGUAAGUAGUGGCGAGCGAAAGCGGACUAGGCCAGUGGUCUUAAUUGUACAACCAAAAUUAUCUGGAAAGGUAAACCAUAGAGAGUGAUAGUCUCGUAUGGGUAAUGACAAUUAAGAUCCUCGAGUAGGACGGGACACGUGAAAUCUUGUCUGAAUAUGGGGGGACCACCCUCCAAGCCUAAGUACUCUUGUGUGACCGAUAGUGAACUAGUACCGUGAGGGAAAGGUGAAAAGAACCCCGACGAGGGGAGUGAAAUAGAUCCUGAAAUUGAAUGCUUACAAGCUGUCGAAGCCCGCAAGGGUGACGGCGUACCUUUUGUAUAAUGGGUCAGCGAGUUAGUUUAUUGUGCAAGCUUAAGCCGUUAGGUGUAGGCGUAGCGAAAGCGAGUCUGAAUAGGGCACUAGUACUUUGGAUUAAACCCGAAACCGAGUGAUCUAGCCAUGAGCAGGUUGAAGAUAAGGUAACACUUAUUGGAGGACCGAACCAGUUGACGUUGAAAAGUCUUUGGAUGACUUGUGGUUAGGGGUGAAAGGCCAAUCAAACUCGGAUAUAGCUG
rnacentral:rRNA from 1 species